rnacentral:rRNA from 1 species
CACGUAGGGGGCAAGCGUUGUCCGGAUUUAUUGGGCGUAAAGAGCUCGUAGGCGGUUCGAUAAGUCGGGUGUGAAAACUCUGGGCUCAACCCAGAGACGCCACCCGAUACUGUUGUGACUGGAGUCCGGUAGGGGAGCGUGGAAUUCCUGGUGUAGCGGUGAAAUGCGCAGAUAUCAGGAGGAACACCAGCGGCGAAGGCGGCUAUCUGGACGGUUUCUGACACUAAGACUCGAAAGCGUGGGGAGCAAACAGG